UACGUAGGGGGCUAGCGUUGUCCGGAUUUAUUGGGCGUAAAGAGCGUGUAGGCGGCCAGGUAGGUCUGCUGUGAAAACUCGAGGCUCAACCUCGAGACGUCGGCGGAAACCAUCUGGCUAGAGUCCGGAAGAGGAGAGUGGAAUUCCUGGUGUAGCGGUGAAAUGCGCAGAUAUCGGGAAGAACACCCUGUGGCGGAAGGCGGCUCUCGUGGACGGUACUGGACGCUGAGACGCGAAAGCGUGGGGAGCGAACAGG
rnacentral:rRNA from 1 species